GGCCUGUACAAAACAGAUUGCCUGCAAACUGACCAUGGUAAAGCACCCACGAAGUAACUAGCCACAAAAGCCAUUCACAAGAGUGCACCCUCUAUUGGAGGGGUAAAGAAACGUCAUCAUUACAGGCCUGGUCUGGUACUCUGUGACACUGAACCUUAUCACAAGUCCACUGAACUUCUGAUUCACAAACCUCCCUUCCAGCAUCUGAUAUGGGACUUCAAAACAGAUCUGUGCUUCCAGAAUACAGUUACUGGUGCUCUGCAGGAGGCAAAUGAUGGUUGGCCUUUUUGAAGACAUCAACCACUCUGCUAUCCAUGCCAAACAUGUAACAAUUAUGCCAAAAGACAUUCAGCUACCUUGCCGCAUAUAUGGAGCACAUGCU
rnacentral:lncRNA from 1 species